AAGAAUAAGCACCGGCUAACUACGUGCCAGCAGCCGCGGUAAUACGUAGGGUGCGAGCGUUAAUCGGAAUUACUGGGCGUAAAGCGUGCGCAGGCGGCUAUGUAAGACWGGUGUGAAAUCCCCGAGCUUAACUUGGGAAUUGCAUUUGUGACUGCAUGGCUAGAGUGUGUCAGAGGGAGGUGGAAUUCCACGUGUAGCAGUGAAAUGCGUAGAUAUGUGGAGGAACACCAAUGGCGAAGGCAGCCUCCUGGGAUAACACUGACGCUCAUGCACGAAAGCGUGGGGAGCAAACAGGAUUAGAUACCCUGGUAGUCAAGGGCG
rnacentral:rRNA from 1 species